UACAGAGGGUGCAAGCGUUGUCCGGAAUUAUUGGGCGUAAAGAGCUCGUAGGCGGUCUGUCGCGUCGGCUGUGAAAACUCGGGGCUCAACUCCGAGCUUGCAGUCGAUACGGGCAGACUAGAGUUCGGCAGGGGAGACUGGAAUUCCUGGUGUAGCGGUGAAAUGCGCAGAUAUCAGGAGGAACACCGGUGGCGAAGGCGGGUCUCUGGGCCUUACCUGACACUGAGGAGCGAAGGCGUGGGGAGCAAACAGG
rnacentral:rRNA from 1 species